UGCUUUACACAUGCAAGUCGAGCGGCAGCGCGGAGGCAACCCUGGCGGCGAGCGGCGAACGGGUGAGUAACACAUCGGAACGUAUCCAGUUGUGGGGGAUAGCCCGGCGAAAGCCGGAUUAAUACCGCAUACGACCUGAGGGUGAAAGUGGGGGAUCGCAAGACCUCACGCAGUUGGAGCGGCCGAUGGCGGAUUAGCUAGUUGGUGAGGUAAAGGCUCACCAAGGCGACGACCCGUAGCUGGUCUGAGAGGACGACCAGCCACACUGGAACUGAGACACGGUCCAGACUCCUACGGGAGGCAGCAGUGGGGAAUUUUGGACAAUGGGGGCAACCCUGAUCCAGCCAUUCCGCGUGAGUGAAGAAGGCCUUCGGGUUGUAAAGCUC
rnacentral:rRNA from 1 species